rnacentral:rRNA from 1 species
CCGAAAGGCGUAGUCGAUGGGAAACAGGUUAAUAUUCCUGUACUUGGUGUUACUGCGAAGGGGGGACGGAGAAGGCUAUGUUGGCCGGGCGACGGUUGUCCCGGUUUAAGCGUGUAGGCUGGUUUUCCAGGCAAAUCCGGAAAACCAAGGCUGAGGCGUGAUGACGAGGCACUACGGUGCUGAAGCGACAAAUGCCCUGCUUCCAGGAAAAGCCUCUAAGCAUCAGGUAACAUCAAAUCGUACCCCAAACCGACACAGGUGGUCAGGUAGAGAAUACCAAGGCGCUUGAGAGAACUCGGGUGAAGGAACUAGGCAAAAUGGUGCCGUAACUUCGGGAGAAGGCACGCUGAUAUGUAGGUGAAGCGACUUGCUCGUGGAGCUGAAAUCAGUCGAAGAUACCAGCUGGCUGCAACUGUUUAUUAAAAACACAGCACUGUGCAAACACGAAAGUGGACGUAUACGGUGUGACGCCUGCCCGGUGCCGGAAGGUUAAUUGAUGGGGUUAGCGGCAACGCGAAGCUCUUGAUCGAAGCCCCGGUAAACGGCGGCCGUAACUAUAACGGUCCUAAGGUAGCGAAAUUCCUUGUCGGGUAAGUUCCGACCUGCACGAAUGGCGUAAUGAUGGCCAGGCUGUCUCCACCCGAGACUCAGUGAAAUUGAACUCGCUGUGAAGAUGCAGUGUACCCGCGGCAAGACGGAAAGACCCCGUGAACCUUUACUAUAGCUUGACACUGAACAUUGAGCCUUGAUGUGUAGGAUAGGUGGGAGGCUUUGAAGUGUGGACGCCAGUCUGCAUGGAGCCGACCUUGAAAUACCACCCUUUAAUGUUUGAUGUUCUAACGUUGGCCCCUAAUCGGGGUUGCGGACAGUGUCUGGUGGGUAGUUUGACUGGGGCGGUCUCCUCCUAAAGAGUAACGGAGGAGCACGAAGGUUGGCUAAUCCUGGUCGGACAUCAGGAGGUUAGUGCAAUGGCAUAAGCCAGCUUGACUGCGAGCGUGACGGCGCGAGCAGGUGCGAAAGCAGGUCAUAGUGAUCCGGUGGUUCUGAAUGGAAGGGCCAUCGCUCAACGGAUAAAAGGUACUCCGGGGAUAACAGGCUGAUACCGCCCAAGAGUUCAUAUCGACGGCGGUGUUUGGCACCUCGAUGUCGGCUCAUCACAUCCUGGGGCUGAAGUAGGUCCCAAGGGUAUGGCUGUUCGCCAUUUAAAGUGGUACGCGAGCUGGGUUUAGAACGUCGUGAGACAGUUCGGUCCCUAUCUGCCGUGGGCGCUGGAGAACUGAGGGGGGCUGCUCCUAGUACGAGAGGACCGGAGUGGACGCAUCACUGGUGUUCGGGUUGUCAUGCCAAUGGCACUGCCC